CUCAACUCCUGGGUUUAGUCUUCUAACUACUAGACUGAAUGUACAGUCUUAGAAUUAUGACUUCCUCAAAUAACAGCCCCAUAGGGACUAUGGAGAGUGAAGAUUAUUCAGUAACCCACCAUGUAAUAUAGGCCAUAUGAAUUUCAUGUUGGGUAUAUUAAGUACUUAUUGUUUUUCUCAGUAGUUAAUAAAAAAGCCAACACAAUCUUUUGCAAUACUGGUUACUCUGAAAAUGUUUUCAUUUCCUGGCCUAGGAAACCCUUGUAGAUUAAUUACUUGACUGAUAAGCAUCUGUCUUGGCAGAGCUACUUUGGUGUUUUAACAAAAAUAGGGCAUUAUAUAAUUAGGAAUAAUGAUUAAGAACCUAGAUUUUGGGAGCACACUGUCCUGGAUUCAACUCCAGCCCAGUUACUUCAUGCAUAUGUGACUACCCUUAGCCUCAAUUUACUGUAAGUGUGUCAUCAUCAAGGCUUAUUGAGAGGACAGAAUGUGAUAAUGGGUAGAAAGUCACUGGCAAAGUUAAUUAUCAAUACUAAAUUUUCCAUUAGCUAUCUGCUACUCUGUAACAAAUUACCUCAAAAUUUAGUGGCUUAAAACAGUAAACAUUAAUUAUUGUACAGUUUCUGUAAGUCCAAAAGGAGCAGAUAUAGGGGGUUUCUUGGUGGAUUUUUAAUGAGGUUGCCGUUAAGAAGUUGGCCAGGCUUGCAGGCAUCUGAAGACUUGAGUUGGGCUGGGAUAUCCACUUCCAAAUGGCACACUCACAUAGCUAUUAGCAUGAGGCCUUAGUUCCCUGCUGGGUAUGGGCAGGAGAUCUCAGGUUCUUGUCACAUGGACUGUUUAUAGAGUUGCUUGAGUGUCCUCACAACAUAGCAGCUGCUUUCUGUCAGGGCAAGUUAUCCGAACAAGAGCAAGAUGUUAGUCACAAUAUCUUUUAUGACCUAGUCUUUGAAGUCGCCCUCUACCACUUCCAUAAUACUCUGUUGCUCACAUGUCAGCCAUAUUCAGUGUGGAAGACAGUGGCUACAGAAAGAGCACAAAUAUUACAAAGCAGGAAUCAUUGGAGAUCAUCUUGGAAGCAGGCUACCACAGAUGGUAAAGACAUCUACUAA
rnacentral:lncRNA from 1 species